AGUGUAAAGCCACCAAAAAGGGAUUCAAGAGGAAGGUAAUGAGGAAAAUAUCACCAGAUGUAUUUUGGAAGAAGCUUUCAUGUGGGCUCUAGAAGCUGCACAUCAAGAGAGAUCUCAGUGCACACAUUUGAAUACAAUGCCUCAUCUGAUUUUAGAAGCUAAAUUGGAUCAUGCCUGAUUCAUACAUGAUGAAAACCCACCAUGAAAUAAACUUCCUAAUUAGGUUGGAAAUAAAUCCUGACUGAAAUCCUG
rnacentral:lncRNA from 11 species